rnacentral:lncRNA from 1 species
CGCAUUCCAUUGCCAUUAGAUCCUCCACGUCAUUUAAUGAAGUUCAAUCCAACGCGUGUGGAUUUUUGUUAUUUCUGAAUUAAUCCAUUUUAUUUUCUUAAUUCCAUUUUAUUUCCAAAAUUCAUAUCUCUCUCAUUAUUUGUCCAAAAAUUAUGGGACCAAUUGCAUUAUUUCUCUUUUAAUUUCUACAUUCUAAAAAUGAUUUUUAAUAUUUUUUCUUUCAUCAUUUGCUAUUUUUUUGUAAUUUUCUCUUUUCUGGUUAUUUUUAAUUCAUUUUAAAUAGUU